rnacentral:rRNA from 1 species
AUUGAACGCUGGCGGCAUGCCUUACACAUGCAAGUCGAACGGCAGCACGGGUGCUUGCACCUGGUGGCGAGUGGCGAACGGGGGAGUAAUACAUCGGAACAUGUCCUGUAGUGGGGGAUAGCCCGGCGAAAGCCGGAUUAAUACCGCAUACGAUCUACGGAUGAAAGCGGGGGACCGUCGGGCCUCGCGCGAUAGGGUUGGCCGAUGGCUGAUUAGCUAGUUGGGGGGGUAAAGGCCUACCAAGGCGACGAUCAGUAGCUGGUCUGAGAGGACGACCAGCCACACUGGGACUGAGCCACGGCCCAGACUCCUACGGGAGGCAGCAGUGGGGAAUUUUGGACAAUGGGCGAAAGCCUGAUCCAGCAAUGCCGCGUGUGUGAAGAAGGCCUUCGGGUUGUAAAGAACUUUUGUCCGGAAAGAAAUCCUUGGCCCUAAUACGGUCGGGGGAUGACGGUACCGGAAGAAUAAGCACCGGCUAACUACGUG